GGGUUUAAAAUGAUGCACAAAACAUCGUAGAGCUGUUGAACAGUGGGAGUACGUGAGAUAAUUCAAAUGCGCCCAUGACGGUGCAUGGAGAGAACAGCCGAAAAUGAAGGCGGGGGUGGAUCAGAGAGCAAGAAAAAUCAUGGCGGAAGCAUAAUGAGAGAAUAGAAAGGAGGGGUGACGAGAGGAGAAUGCGUUGUGGACAUGUUGGUCAUUGCCAUAGCUUGAUCAUGAGCAUCGAGUUCCAUUCUUUCUAACCAAAAAAAAAAAAAAAAAGAAGGUAAAACUAAUUGAAGAUUGCAUAAUUUCUUCCAAUGAGUAUGCAAAAGAUAAGCCAGUUAGUUGUCAAA